rnacentral:rRNA from 1 species
CCCGCUGAACUUAAGCAUAUCAAUAAGCGGAGGAAAAGAAACCAACAGGGAUUGCCCUAGUAACGGCGAAUGAAGCGGCAACAGCUCAAAUUUGAAAUCUGGCCUCGGCCCGAGUUGUAAUUUGCAGAGGAUGCUUCUGGCGCGGUGCCUUCCGAGUUCCCUGGAACGGGACGCCACAGAGGGUGAGAGCCCCGUAUGGUCGGACACCAAGCCUGUGUGAAGCUCCUUCGACGAGUCGAGUAGUUUGGGAAUGCUGCUCUAAAUGGGAGGUAAAUCUCUUCUAAAGCUAAAUACCGGCCAGAGACCGAUAGCGCACAAGUAGAGUGAUCGAAAGAUGAAAAGCACCUUGAAAAGGGGGUUAAAUAGUACGUGAAAUUGUUGAAAGGGAAGCACUUGUGACCAGACUUGGGCCGGGCGGCUCAUCAGGGGUUCUCCCCUGUGCACUCCGCCCGGCACAGGCCAGCAUCAGUUCUCGUGGGGGGAUAAGACCGUCAGGAACGUAGCACCCUCCGGGGUGUGUUAUAGCCUGGCGGACGAUACCCCCGUGGGGACUGAGGUUCGCGCUCCGCAAGGAUGCUGGCGUAAUGGUCACCAGUGACCCGUCUUGAAACACGG